rnacentral:rRNA from 1 species
UACGGAGGGUGCAAGCGUUAAUCGGAAUUACUGGGCGUAAAGCGUGCGCAGGCGGUUUGUAAGUCAGUGGUGAAAUACUCCAGCUUAACUGGAGGGGUGCCAUUGAUACUGCGGAGCUUGAGUACAGAUGAGGUAGGCGGAAUUGACGGUGUAGCGGUGAAAUGCAUAGAUAUCGUCAAGAACACCGAUAGCGAAGGCAGCUUACUGGGCUGUAACUGACGCUGAUGCACGAAAGUGUGGGGAUCAAACAGG